ACACACCUCCCCUCUCCCUCCGCCCACUGCAGGCUGCCGCAUCUGACGCCCCCCCAGAUGUGACCUACGCCCAGCUGAACCGCUUGACGCUCAGACGGGAGACGAGUGCACCCCAUUCCUCCCAAGCCGGGGAGCCUCCAGCAGAGCCCAGCGUGUAUGCUGCUCUGGCCAUCCGCUAGCCCAAGAAGGACCCACAGCCCACACUCCAGGGAGGGGACCGCGAGGACCCCAGGAGGCGCAGGAGCUGCCCACAGAGGCCGCCUAAUGGCCCCAGCCAGCCUGGACUCCUAACAUAGACCAAUUUACUGGAUACAUGGUCAAUAUUUAGAAAUCAGCUGCAUUCAGAGUUCCAGUUCUGGAUGAAGAUAGAGUAGGUGGAUGCCCCCCUAUUUCUUUAUACUGGUGAGACUGAUUAUUUACUUCUGACCUCCAGAAUUAUAAUAAAUUUAUGUUAUCUUAAGAUACCAA